GCAUUCUCUCCACAAUCCGCCAACUCAGACAAGCCCAGAGGCAAUACUGGGGUCACAGGAGAAGAACAGCCCCAAGUUGUGUUGCUUUACCUAUUUUACAUUUUCAGGGGUGGCUCAAGAAGAAAAUAAAGGAAGGGAAAGUCAAUCUAAUCAGCAUCAGAAUUUGUCUCAGCAGGACUUCCUGGUAACAUGUCAAGGUACAGAAUCUCAUUUACUAUUUGCAAUGAUAGGAAGCAGAUACUAACAGCCAGCUGUCCGGGGAACAGCAGGAUGUCCCAGGAAGAAAGCUCUGGAGGUGGACACAAUUCUGGAACCAUGGUUUGCUGGCUACAAAUGCUGGCUACCAUGGUUUGCUGGCUACAAAAAACAAUGAGGCCAGUUUUUCGUC
rnacentral:lncRNA from 1 species